UACGUAGGGAGCAAGCGUUGUCCGGAAUUAUUGGGCGUAAAGGGUGCGUAGGCGGCUAUGCAAGUCAGAUGUGAAAUCCCCGGGCUUAACUCGGGUAUUGCAUUUGAAACUGUAAAGCUUGAGUAAAGAAGAGGUAAGUGGAAUUCCUAGUGUAGCGGUGGAAUGCGUAGAUAUUAGGAGGAACACCAGUGGCGAAGGCGACUUACUGGUCUUUUACUGACGCUGAGGCACGAAAGCGUGGGGAGCAAACAGG
rnacentral:rRNA from 1 species